AGACUGAUCUCACAUUCAUGUUAACUGGUUUAUUUUGAAGCAUAACAUUUCAUCAAGGUGUAUACCUAUAUGUGAAUAUUUACCAAUUUAGAAUCUGAAACAGAUGCAGAUGAAGAAUGACCUACUUGAAAAUUUACCAGCCAAGCCUGUAAGCUGUGUAAUGUCAACACAAAGGAAAUAUCAAUUCAAGUGGAUUCCAAUGUGCAACUGUAGUCAUUAGUAUGGACUGUCAAACUUUCAAGCAUUUGCCUUAUUUAUUGAACAACAUAAUAAUUCAAAAUGGUAAUGGGAAGAGGGUGGAGUAGGAAAAUAAGGAUAGACUGAAACCAAGGUCCUUAGGGCUUCUAUCUGAAUUUCAGAAUUACUGUCAAAUAAAUAUUUAUUGGUGUCCUUUCUCUUGUAUGUAGACAAUAAGUACACAUACAGAUAGCUGUCUAAAAAUUCAGUGUUAACGCUGGAAUUAGAUAUUGAAACUGAGUACCAAUAUUACCUUUAGUCAAUUUCCCUUAGGAUACUAUUUUGUGAAGAGAAUAUAUUAUUCAUGUGCAUAUUAAUUAAAGCUUUUAAAAUGAUCACUGAAAAUGUAUCCUCUGACCUGCAGAAAAUAUCCAGUGUAUGUUCUUAAGUCCUGGUGCUAGACGCAAAUUAAAGAUGAGUAAUGCAAAUUGAAAUUUCCAUGAAAUGAAUCAUUCUACAUAAUGAGCUUUACAAAUUCCACAUUUUAUGCAAUACCAAAAAUAAAAAAA
rnacentral:lncRNA from 1 species